GCAUAAAGACCCAGUCCUACUUUUGUGUCAGUUCUCAAAUAAAUAUUUCUCUCUAUUUAGCCUUUCUUAAGGGAUUCAUCACCAUUUAUUAUCAUAUUAUCCUUCAUAUUUGGUGUUUUUGAGUGUAUAUCAGGUAUUGUACUAUAUUUAAUUCACUGAUCAUGUAGAUGUUCAUCAAAACUCAGGUUAAAGUUAAAGGUUAUUAUAUCAGAAACAAAGAAAACUGAG